UACGUAGGGGGCUAGCGUUGUCCGGAAUCAUUGGGCGUAAAGCGCGUGUAGGCGGUCCGGUAAGUCCGCUGUGAAAGUCGGGGGCUCAACCCUCGGAUGCCGGUGGAUACUGUCGGGCUUGAGUACGGAAGAGGCGAGUGGAAUUCCUGGUGUAGCGGUGAAAUGCGCAGAUAUCAGGAGGAACACCGAUGGCGAAGGCAGGUCUCUGGGCCACUACUGACGCUGAGGAGCGAAAGCGUGGGGAGCAAACAGG
rnacentral:rRNA from 1 species